CUCAGGAUGAACGCUAGCGGCGCGCUUAACGCAUGCAAGUCGAGCGAUGAGGCUCCCUUCGGGGGGUACAUCAGCGGCAGACGGGUGAGUAACACGUAGGUAACCUGCCCUCAAGACGGGGAUAACGCCUGGAAACGGGCGCUAAUACCGGAUGACCUUAGUUGGGGAAGCCCCGGCUAAGGAAAGGCUUUGGCGCUUGAGGAGGGGCCUGCGGCCCAUCAGUUAGUUGGUAGGGUAACGGCCUACCAAGGCGAAGACGGGUAGGGGGUGUGAGAGCACGGCCCCCCACACUGGGACUGAGACACGGCCCAGACUCCUACGGGAGGCAGCAGCGGGGAAUAUUGCGCAAUGGACGGAAGUCAGACGCAGCGACGCCGCGUGGGUGAAGAAGGCCUUCGGGUUGUAAAGCCCUUUUCUGUGGGAAGAGAAAGGACGGUACCAUAGGAAUAAGCGUCGGCUAACUACGUGCCAGCAGCCGCGGUAAGACGUAGGACGCGAGCGUUAUCCGGAUUUACUGGGCGUAAAGCGUGUGUAGGCGGCGUGACAAGUUGGGCGUGAAAGCCCCGUGCUCAACGCGGGGAGGCCGCACAAUACUGUCAGGCUAGAGGGCAUCAGAGGGGUGUGGAAUUCCCGGAGUAGCGGUAAAAUGCGCAGAUAUCGGGAGGAACACCGGUGGCGAAAGCGGCACCCUGGGGUGCACCUGACGCUGAGAGACGACAGCUAGGGGAGCGAACAGGAUUAGAGACCCUGGUAGUCCUAGCCGUAAACGAUGGAUGCUAGGUGUGGGAGUGAAGAACUUCUGUGCCGCAGCGAACGCGAUAAGCAUCCCGCCUGGGGAGUACGGCCGCAAGGUUAAAACUCAAACGAAUGGACGGGGACCCGCACAAGCAGCGGAGCGUGUG
rnacentral:rRNA from 1 species